CCACAGAACAUCACCUGGGAGUGGCUUUCAAAUAAACUACCUGGCCCUUUGUUGCCUCUCUUUGCCUGCUUAUUUUGGCUAAAAUUUAUCUUAUAUUUGGUGCCGACCCCGGGAAGGAGUGUGACCGUGGGGCCCUGACCAGCCACUGGUGGCUCUGCCCCCUCCUUCCCCGACCUGGGACCUCAGCCUCCUCUCCGGUACAUGGACUAUUUCAGGUGCAGGAACCUCAGGAAUGUCUUAGGAACCUCAAGAAGAGAAGAAUUAACCCAAAUCUACAGGUACUGCAGGCACAACCUGAUGGUUCCUCCAACAGUGGCUAACCCAGAUGACCCGGGGCCCCACCAGCCAGAUGUUACAUCACCGUUAUGCACCUCUUCCCACUGAACCCCCUCCUUUGGCCUAAUACCAGCCUCAAACCCCCACGAUGCCCCUUGUCACCUGGAAGUAGCCAGAUCGAGUUGUUGCUCAUUAUGACCAAAAGGCUGGA